UGGAGGCGAUGACGGCGGCGCUUGUGAGGAUCCCGCAGUGGCGAGGGCGACUUCCGUGCCAGCCGAGAAGGUGGCGACGCCGAUUACCUGGCGCGGUGUGCAGCGAACAUCGCCACUGGGGAGACAAAGGCGGUCGGCAGCGGUGCUGGCCACCAUCGUCUGCCGUGUCGGCCUUCAGGGCGCUCGCUAGCAGCAGCAGGGGGGUCGUGGUGAUUGUGUAUGUCAUGAGGUUCGUUGUGUGCGCCCCAUCGCGUCUGAUCUCACAAGCUAAGCAGGCGUGGGCCUGCCCCGCCACCCCGCAUGGCACCGGCCGCGGUUCACGACUUGGCCAUCGGGGGGCGUUGCGGGACCGCCUCACUCGGCCUCAAAGCUCUUCACCAUGAGGGCCCUGCCAAGCGUAGUUCACAGGAGGGAGGAGGGGCGAUGUUGCUGCUGCCGCUGCUUCUGAAUCCCAGUCUCCUUCACAUCUGGUCCAGGAUCGCCACCACCCCCCACACAGAGGCUCCAUCUCGUCCCAGGCACCUGCCAAUUAGACACCACAGAGAGACACACAGACAAGUCUUCAGACAUCUCCUACAAUGCCUUGGGGAUAUACAUGGCGACACACACGUUAUUACGAUCACAUUGGCACUCACCGUUUGAAAGUCUUGCUUGUUCCACGUCCCGAGAAUUAUUGUCCUCGGCUGAGAUUCGAACCUUGCACCUCCAGACUGCAGGGUUGUCUCUCAUCGCUUGAAGCCACCGCGUCCUCACAGACGCAAGCGGGGCUCCGCACGGUGUCGUGAUUGCACUGCGUGCAGCGGUGGCAGUUGUUAGAUUGCAUAGUGACGUCAUCACGCAAAUUUUUAAUUGCGUGAUGAUGUCAUCACGUAAACAAAAAUUCGUAAACAAGUGUGGGAAUUGAACCUGGAUCGCCGGCUGCAAAAGCAAACCACAUUCUCCUCUAGCCCACGAGGUAGUAGCAGAUGUUGUAAAUGUUCUUGGUUAUUAAACCAUCGUCGUUUUUCACAUUCAUUUCGA